rnacentral:rRNA from 1 species
AAGCGCUUGCAACCAGACUUGCACGCAGUUGAUCAUCCGGUGUUCUCACCGGGGCACUCUGCUGCGUUCAGGCCAGCAUCGGUUUCGGUGGUUGGAUAAAGGCCUUGGGAAUGUGGCUUCCUUCGGGGAGUGUUAUAGCCUAUUGUAUAAUACCCUUAUGGGGACCGAGGUACGCGCUCUGCAAGGAUGCUGGCGUAAUGGU